AUUGAACGCUGGCGGCAUGCUUUACACAUGCCAGUCGAACGGUAACAGGCCUUCGGGUGCUGACGAGUGGCGUACGGGUGAGUAAUGCAUCGGAACGUGCCCAGAGGUGGGGGAUAACGCAGCGAAAGCUGUGCUAAUACCGCAUGUGAUCUGAGGAUGAAAGCGGGGGACCAGGCAGCAAUGUUUGGCCUCGCGCCUUUGGAGCGGCCGAUGUCAGAUUAGGUAGUUGGUGGGGUAAAGGCCUACCAAGCCGACGAUCUGUAGCUGGUCUGAGAGGACGACCAGCCACACUGGGAGUGAGACACGGCCCAGACUCCUACGGGAGGCAGCAGUGGGGAAUUUUGGACAAUGGGCGCAAGCCUGAUCCAGCAAUGCCGCGUGCGGGAAGAAGGCCUUCGGGCUGUAAAACGCUUUUGUACGGAACGAAAAGGAUCUGGCUAAUACCUGGGGCUGAUGACGGUACCGUAAGAAUAAGCACCGGCUAACUACGUG
rnacentral:rRNA from 1 species